rnacentral:rRNA from 1 species
AUUGAACGCUGGCGGCAGGCCUAACACAUGCAAGUCGAACGAGUGGCGGACGGGUGAGUAAUGUCUGGGAAACUGCCUGAUGGAGGGGGAUAACUACUGGAAACGGUAGCUAAUACCGCAUACCAUCGGAUGUGCCCAGAUGGGAUUAGCUAGUAGGUGGGGUAACGGCUCACCUAGUCGACGAUCCCUAGCUGGUCUGAGAGGAGGACCAGCAACACGGGAACUGAGAAACGGUCCAGACGCCUUGGGGAGGCAGCAGUGGGGAAUAUUGCACAAUGGGCGCAAGCCUGAUGCAGACAUGCCGCGUGUAUGAAGAAGGCCUUCGGGUUGUAAAGUACUUUCAGCGGGGAGGCGUUACCCGCAGAAGAAGCACCGGCUAACUCCGUGCCAGCCGCGGCGGUAAUUC